rnacentral:rRNA from 1 species
UACAGAGGGUGCGAGCGUUAAUCGGAAUUACUGGGCGUAAAGCGCACGUAGUCGGCUUUGCAAGUCGGUUGUGAAAUCCCCGGGCUCAACCUGGGAACUGCAUCCGAGACUGCAUUGCUAGAGUAUGGGAGAGGAAAGCGGAAUUUCUGGUGCAGCAGUGAAAUGCGUAGAUAUCAGAAGGAACAUCAGUGGCGAAGGCGGCUUUCUGGACCAAUACUGACGAUCAGGUGCGAAAGCGUGGGGAGCAAACAGG